UUUUCUCAGGUGCAUGUUAUUGUUGUCUCUCUCAUCCUCCUAAUCGACCAGCGAGGUUUAUUUUGUUAGUUCAGACUAUUUUGUUAGUUCAGACUGGCCAGUAAAUAGUAGUUAUCAUGAAAGUUUUGGUUUUCUUGUCUAGUUUUGCAAUGUCGUCUGCCAAGAAUUACCUUCUAUCGAAAAACGAAUUUUUUUGUAAAGAACUACUGUAUCGUUUGCAGUGGUAUUCUUGUGGCAGUAAGUUGAUACUUUGAUACACUUUUGAUAUAAAGUUGAUGCACUUUGGUCCAUUCGAUGCGUGAUAUUCUUAUUCCUUCAUUGCCUCUUCAGAGGUGUGAGCUAAUUAUUCAUGUUUUGACUUCUCAAACUACAAUAAUCUAGGAUGUUUCAUACGGUUGUCUAUGCUAUGAUAUGAUCAGUUGGUAACAAGGAUAGCAGACUCGGGAAAGUUUUCAUAUGAUUCACCACGAAAGUCACACAUUUGCUCUGUAAAAGAAAGGUUGAAAGAGUUGAUAUGCUGAGGAGUGUUAGAAUGGAGAUUAUGAUAAGAACAUCACAAAGAUGUAUUGCACAACAUUCACAGCUUCAUAAAGGGACCAGGAACUUUAGACACAAAGUGACAUAUACACGCUUUGCAACUUCGAAGGAGUAGACAAGAAUUUCAGCAGCAGAAAAAAGGCGGAAUAUCCUGUCAAGCUUCAAUUCGGAUUGAAAGAUGAAAUCAACUAAGCGUUCACAAAUGUGGUCAAUUUGACACGAACCGCUGUGUCGACAAGAUAAAUCCACGCAGCAAAGACACUGGACAGCGACACAACUGGUUACGAAGUUACAAAGAGUGGCAGCCAAGAAACGUGAUUAUCUUCUGAACAAAUGGUCGCCGACGACAGCUGAAAUUGUGUUAUUAGGAUAAAAGGACUAUUAUUUAAAAACAAAAAAUGAGUUACAUUAUAUUGGAUAUUUUGAAUAUCAGUCAAUUUUUAAGAGCCAAUUACAAGACUGGCGAUAUCUGCAGAACGUAUAAUAUUUAAAGUUUGACAUUUUGAGAUUC